rnacentral:rRNA from 1 species
GGUUAAGCGAAUAAGCGUACACGGUGGAUGCCUAGGCAGUCAGAGGCGAUGAAGGACGUGCUAAUCUGCGAUAAGCGCCGGUAAGGUGAUAUGAACCGUUAUAACCGGCGAUUUCCGAAUGGGGAAACCCAGUGUGAUUCGUCACACUAUCAUUACCUGAAUACAUAGGGUAAUGAAGCGAACCGGGAGAACUGAAACAUCUAAGUACCCCGAGGAAAAGAAAUCAAACGAGAUUCCCCCAGUAGCGGCGAGCGAACGGGGAGCAGCCCAGGACCUUAAUCAGCAUCAGUGUUAAGAGAACAGUCUGGAAAGGCUGGCCACAGCAGGUGAUAGCCCUGUAUCUGAAAGCACUGGUGUUGUGAGUCCGAUGAGUAAGGCGGGACACGUGUUAUCCUGUCUGAAUAUGGGGGGACCAUCCUCCAAGGCUAAAUACUCCUGACUGACCGAUAGUGAACCAGUACCGUGAGGGAAAGGCGAAAAGAACCCCGGCGAGGGGAGUGAAAAAGAACCUGAAACCGUGUACGUACAAGCAGUGGGAGCACCCUUUGGGGUGUGACUGCGUACCUUUUGUAUAAUGGGUCAGCGACUUAUAUUCUGUAGCAAGGUUAACCGAAUAGGGGAGCCGCAGGGAAACCGAGUCUUAACUGGGCGUCUUAGUUGCAGGGUAUAGACCCGAAACCCGGUGAUCUAGCCAUGGGCAGGUUGAAGGUUGGGUAACACUAACUGGAGGACCGAACCGACUAAUGUUGAAAAAUUAGCGGAUGACUUGUGGCUGGGGGUGAAAGGCCAAUCAAACCGGGAGAUAGCUGGUUCUCCCCGAAAGCUAUUUAGGUAGCGCCUCGUGAAUUCAUCUCCGGGGGUAGAGCACUGUUUCGGCUAGGGGGUCAUCCCGACUUACCAACCCGAUGCAAACUGCGAAUACCGGAGAAUGUUAUCACGGGAGACACACGGCGGGUGCUAACGUUCGUCGUGAAGAGGGAAACAACCCAGACCGCCGGCUAAGGUCCCAAAGUCAUAAUUAAGUGGGAAACGAAGUGGGAAGGCUCAGACAGCCAGGAUGUUGGCUUAGAAGCAGCCAUCAUUUAAAGAAAGCGUAAUAGCUCACUGGUCGAGUCGGCCUGCGCGGAAGAUGUAACGGGGCUAAAUUAUGCACCGAAGCCGCGGCAGCGAUAUGUAAAUAUUGUUGGGUAGGGGAGCGUUCUGUAAGCCUGUGAAGGUG